ACGGAAGGCAGCAGUGGGGAAUAUUGCACAAUGGGGGAAACCCUGAUGCAGCGACGCCGCGUGAGUGAAGAAGUUAUUCGUAAUGUAAAGCUCUAUCAGCAGGGAAGAAAAUGACGGUACCUGACUAAGAAGCCCCGGCUAACUACGUGCCAGCAGCCGCGGUAAUACGUAGGGGGCAAGCGUUAUCCGGAUUUACUGGGUGUAAAGGGAGCGUAGACGGUCUGGCAAGUCUGAUGUGAAAGGCAGGGGCUCAACUCCUGGACUGCAUUGGAAACUGUCAGUCUUGAGUGUCGGAGAGGUAAGCGGAAUUCCUAGUGUAGCGGUGAAAUGCGUAGAUAUUAGGAGGAACACCAGUGGCGAAGGCGGCUUGCUGGACGACAACUGACGCUGAGGCGCGAAAGCGUGGGGAGCAAACAGGAUUAGAUACCCUGGUA
rnacentral:rRNA from 1 species